UUAGCCUCACAAAGUCACAAAUACACUUCUUCAUUUCAUAUCUCUUUGACAGCAAGUCACAAUCACAUUUUAUCAUCCAAAUGUUCUUGUUUCAAAAAACUAUAAGCUUAAGAGACAUUUCAAUCUAAACUAGAAACUAUAAAUUUACCAAAGACCCUGCAAAAGUUUGUAACAAAAUCAAGCAACAUAAGAAACAUAGGAGGACCCGUAUCAGGAGAAAACACAUUGAGAAUAGUCCGUAUUGUAUGUGACGUGGAAGAUAACUUCUUUCCCCAAUAAAUCCA
rnacentral:lncRNA from 1 species